rnacentral:rRNA from 1 species
UACGGGAGGCAGCAGUGGGGAAUAUUGGACAAUGGGCGCAAGCCUGAUCCAGCCAUGCCGCGUGUGUGAAGAAGGCCUUCGGGUUGUAAAGCACUUUUGUCCGGAAAGAAAAGCUUAGGGUUAAUAACCUUGAGUCAUGACGGUACCGGAAGAAUAAGCACCGGCUAACUUCGUGCCAGCAGCCGCGGUAAUACGAAGGGUGCAAGCGUUACUCGGAAUUACUGGGCGUAAAGCGUGCGUAGGUGGUUUUGUUAAGUCUGAUGUGAAAGCCCUGGGCUCAACCUGGGAAUGGCAUUGGAAACUGGCUUACUAGAGUGCGGUAGAGGGGUGUGGAAUUCCCGGUGUAGCAGUGAAAUGCGUAGAUAUCGGGAGGAACAUCUGUGGCGAAGGCGACACCCUGGGACCAGCACUGACACUGAGGCACGAAAGCGUGGGGAGCAAACAGGAUUAGAUACC